CAUAGAUCUAGACUGGUUCCCGCGGGUGUCAAACAGCAGUCCUCCGCCGCUCAACCUGAAGGAUCUGGUGCUGGGGAAGUCGCGAAGGUUCUGGAACACCCCGAUGGGCUCCGGUAACAAGGCCGGGCAGCCGAUGGCGCUCAACCUGCAGACGAACGCCGGCAGACUGCCGCUGGGAGACCUGAUGAAGUCAAAAGGACCCAUGGGCCCGCUGACGUGGCUGACUGGUGGCAGUUCCAGGCCGAUGCCCGUGGGAAAGCUAUUAAAGGGAUUCAAAUGAGACAACCCGACCGACGGAAAGUGCAACCAAGCAGCCCACCAACCACAGAUUGCCUUGCAUCGCCGAAGACUCUACAUGGCGCAGAUGUAACGUUUCACCUGACUGGAGGACUUUAUUGCCGCAGAUAGCCUAUCCAACUGACACAGUUAUUUGACACGAA